rnacentral:rRNA from 1 species
CCCUUAGAUGUUCUGGGCCGCACGCGCGCUACACUGAUGCAUUCAACGAGUUUUUCCUGGUCCGAGAGGAAUGGGUAACCUUUUGAAAGUGCAUCGUGCUAGGGAUAGACUAUUGCAAUUAUUGGUCUUCAACGAGGAAUUCCUAGUAGACGUAGUUCAUCAGACUGCAUCGAUUACGUCCCUGCCCUUUGUACACACCGCCCGUCGCUCCUACCGAUUGAAUGCUCAGGUGAGCCAUUCGGACUUUCAUCAUGCUGGUUUCCAGUUUUGAUGAAGGAAAGUCUUGCGAACCUUAUCAUUUAGAGGAAGGAGAAGUCGUAACA